CCACUCCAGGCCUAAGUAUGAAAUCCUGUGAGAUUUUGUGGGAUUUGAGUUUUUAAAAUAGGGCGGGGCCUAUUGUUUGGUCUGGGAGAGCAUGUGGUGGACAAGGAAGUGUAAGGCUGGCUGCUCCAGGUGGGCUUUAAAUUGUUGUGAUAGUAAUCACUUGUUUUUAACUUUUUAUUAUGAUGUGCUUAGGGAUGUGCUUAGAUGUGCCUCUGUUCCAGAACAGCUGAGUUAGAUGAUUGCAUGUCCAUCUGCAGCCAUCAAGAAGUGCAGAAGGUUGUUCAUCAUCCACAGAUUCAAUCCAGCCGUUGCUCUGCAGUUUGACCGAAAGCUGACUCUUGAGGACUGCAGUGAAACUGUCAAGAAGUGGCCUCAUUACACGCCAGAAUGAGAGGAA